UCUAUGGUUCAGUCAAUCUUA
rnacentral:piRNA from 1 species